UUUGCUUGUAGCCGGGUUGAACAAACUAUAGAGCCUUUCUUUGAAAGUCCAACAUUUGGCCGUACUACAUGAGAAUAAAAAGUAUAUAAACACAGUUUUGAUUUUACCAACAAUAAUGUACAAAACAGAAUGGCGCCAUUAAUGUUCUCCUUAAGAUUUCUGUUCUUCCUUUCUCCCGUUUUGUUCCUCAUCAGCACUCAAUCC
rnacentral:lncRNA from 1 species